rnacentral:rRNA from 1 species
GAUGAACGCUGGCGGCGUGCCUAAUACAUGCAAGUCGAGCGAACAGACGAGGAGCUUGCUCCUCUGACGUUAGCGGCGGACGGGUGAGUAACACGUGGAUAACCUACCUAUAAGACUGGGAUAACUUCGGGAAACCGGAGCUAAUACCGGAUAAUAUAUUGAACCGCAUGGUUCAAUAGUGAAAGACGGUUUUGCUGUCACUUAUAGAUGGAUCCGCGCCGCAUUAGCUAGUUGGUAGGGUAACGGCUUACCAAGGCAACGAUGCGUAGCCGACCUGAGAGGGUGAUCGGCCACACUGGAACUGAGACACGGUCCAGACUCCUACGGGAGGCAGCAGUAGGGAAUCUUCCGCAAUGGGCGAAAGCCUGACGGAGCAACGCCGCGUGAGGGAUGAAGGUCUUCGGAUCGUAAAACUCUGUUAUUAGGGAAGAACAAAUGUGUAAGUAACUAUGCACGUCUUGACGGUACCUAAUCAGAAAGCCACGGCUAACUACGUG